rnacentral:rRNA from 1 species
UGAGGAACCUGCCUCAAAGAGGGGGACAACAGCCUUAAACGACUGCUAAUACCGCAUAAGCCCACAGGUCGGCAUCGACCAGAGGGAAAAGGAGCAAUCCGCUUUGAGAUGGCCUCGCGUCCGAUUAGCUAGUUGGUGAGGUAACGGCCCACCAAGGCGACGAUCGGUAGCCGGACUGAGAGGUUGAACGGCCACAUUGGGACUGAGACACGGCCCAGACUCCUACGGGAGGCAGCAGUGGGGAAUAUUGCACAAUGGGGGAAACCCUGAUGCAGCGACGCCGCGUGGAGGAAGAAGGUCUUCGGAUUGUAAACUCCUGUUGUUGAGGAAGAUAAUGACGGUACUCAAUAAGGAAGUGACGGCUAACUACGUGCCAGCAGCCGCGGUAAAACGUAGGUCACAAGCGUUGUCCGGAAUUACUGGGUGUAAAGGGAGCGCAGGCGGGAAGACAAGUUGGAAGUGAAAUCUAUGGGCUCAACCCAUAAACUGCUUUCAAAACUGUUUUUCUUGAGUAGUGCAGAGGUAGGCGGAAUUCCCGGUGUAGCGGUGGAAUGCGUAGAUAUCGGGAGGAACACCAGUGGCGAAGGCGGCCUACUGGGCACCAACUGACGCUGAGGCUCGAAAGUGUGGGUAGCAAACAGGAUUAGAUACCCUGGUAGUCCACACCGUAAACGAUGAUUACUAGGUGUUGGAGGAUUGACCCCUUCAGU